rnacentral:rRNA from 1 species
GACGAACCGUGCGAACGUUGUUCGGGAAUCACUGGGCUUAAAGGGCGCGUAGGCGGCUUGGCAAGUCAGGGGUGAAAGCUUUCGGCUCAACCGGAAAAGUGCCCCUGAUACUGCCGAGCUCAGGGGAGGUAGGGGCGGACGGAACUUCCGGUGGAGCGGUGAAAUGCGUUGAUAUCGGAAGGAACGCCGGUGGCGAAAGCGGUCCGCUGGGCCCCUCUGACGCUGAGGCGGCGAAAGCCAGGGGAGCAAACAGG